UGGGGAAUUUUGGACAAUGGGCGAAAGCCUGAUCCAGCAAUGCCGCGUGCAGGAUGAAGGCCUUCGGGUUGUAAACUGCUUUUGUACGGAACGAAAAGGCUCUGGCUAAUACCUGGGGCACAUGACGGUACCGUAAGAAUAAGCACCGGCUAACUACGUGCCAGCAGCCGCGGUAAUACGUAGGGUGCGAGCGUUAAUCGGAAUUACUGGGCGUAAAGCGUGCGCAGGCGGUUUCGUAAGACAGAGGUGAAAUCCCCGGGCUCAACCUGGGAACUGCCUUUGUGACUGCAAAGCUGGAGUGCGGCAGAGGGGGAUGGAAUUCCGCGUGUAGCAGUGAAAUGCGUAGAUAUGCGGAGGAACACCGAUGGCGAAGGCAAUCCCCUGGGCCUGCACUGACGCUCAUGCGCGAAAGCGUGGGGAGCAAACAGGAUUAGAUACCCUGGUAGUCCACGCCCUAAACGAUGUCAACUGGUUGUUGGGUCUUAACUGACUCAGUAACGAAGCUAACGCGUGAAGUUGNCCANGNUGGGGAGUACGGCCGCAAGGUUG
rnacentral:rRNA from 1 species